GUUUCAACAAAUUAUGUGGAGUCAUCUUCUCCAAGUCAAAUUUUUUCUCUGAUAGAUCUCAAAUUCUUCAGUUCUGCCAUUGAAGUAGUUGUGGAGCUUAAGUAACUGAUAUUGAAUUCGUGAAGACCAAAAAAAUGGGUGUAGAUGAUGAAGUACCGAUUGACGAUAAAGCGAAGAGAAUGAGAGAUCUAUUAUCGAGCUUUUACUCUCCAGAUCCUAAUUCUACUUCAGUUCCGCCUAAUACUUCUUCCAGAUUUGCAACUUUGGAUACCAUUAACACUACUGCCUUCGAUGCCGAUCAGUACAUGAAUUUACUUGUGCAGAAGUCCAAUUUGGAAGGUAUGCUUCAGAGGCAUGUCGAAAUGGCUGCUGAGAUAAAGAAUCUCGAUACUGACCUGCAAAUGCUGGUAUAUGAAAAUUACAACAAGUUCGUAAGUGCCACAGACACAAUUAAAAGGAUGAAAAACAAUAUUGUUGGCAUGGAGACAAGUAUGGAGCAGCUUCUUGAAAAGAUAAUGUCCGUGCAAUCUAAAAGUGAUGGGGUCAAUACUUUUCUUUUUGAGAAGAGGGAACACAUAGAGAAAUUGCAUAGGACCCGUAAUCUUCUACGCAAAAUUCAGUUCAUAUAUGAUCUACCCGCUAGGUUAGCAAAGUGUAUCAAAUCAGAAGCCUAUGCUGAUGCUGUGAAAUACUACACUGGAGCCAUGCCCAUUUUCAAGGCAUAUGGAGACUCUUCGUUCCAGGAUUGCAAAAGAGC
rnacentral:misc_RNA from 1 species